rnacentral:lncRNA from 1 species
UCGAUUCCACCACCAUUCUUUACUUUUGCUUUCCUUACUUAUGCCCACCGUUUCAAUUUGGUCAUGGCAACCACUUCUUUCAUCGUUACCGGAGCCCCGUUUUGGAAAUCGCGGCGGAGGUGGCGCCGGCUAGACCAACGGAGACGCUACGGCUGGCGAACGGUUGGGAAUCGUUUUCGAAUGGUGCAGUGGAGUCGGACACGGUUCAGUUGUCCCUUCUGUUUCUUAUCUCACGACUGCAGCUAUGAGAUGUUGCUAACCCAUCAUGACCCACCGAUCGGUCUCUUUAUCGGUUGGUCAUCGACUAAAAUCUUUGUUCGGCUUCCCCAUCUUCUCUUACCUAUUCUGGCUGCUUCCAACCGUCUGUAAAUCGAUUUCAGCCUCCGAUUUCACAACUUUGUUUUGGAUUUGAUUUUAGGAAUGUUUUUAGGAUUUUGAAAUCGCCAGCGUUGGUGGGUAGUGCACAGCUCACCACCUCCCUUCUUCCAAUUAGAUGCUCUUCUGCUGCUCACAGCUUGCUUUUUUGUUUCACAAAUCAUCAAUUUCACAUGGUCCAGGUUCGAUUUUCCUUUCAUUCUAUGCUCAAUUUGGCUUUUGUUUUUGAAAAAUCUGACCUUUGAAGCCCUAAUUCGCACUUCAAAACCGAUCAAAUAAUUCUUACUUUGAAAUAGGCAGAUUUAUGCCGCUGCUCCGAUGGCGUCGAAGACGGCCAUUUGAAGACUAAAGAACGCUAGUUGUCACACAUAUCUAUUUUUAUUUGAAGUAGAGGCUUUGGAUUGAAUAUUAGUCUUUUGCUUUCUCAUUGGUUGGCAUUUCUUUUCUUUAUAGGAUAAACAAAUAUCGUCUGAUUAGGGAGGAGCAAAGGCGGGAGGCUGAGUCUGAACCCUAAUUUGAUUCUCCGAUUUCAAAGUAAUUAGUUCAGUUUGGAGGUCAGAACUUAUCUUUGUAUUCUUUGCUUUUUGGGUUUUAUUUAUUAAUAUUCCCUUUCAGUUUGUCACCUGUUUAGGCAUAAGUAUAUGAAAUAGAGCUGCUGUUAUUGAUGGCGACCAUCAAAAACUUUAGAUGUUUACUAACAAGGAGUUUUAGAGUUUAUCACCUGGUUUUAUUUAUUAAUUUCAUAUGAAUAUAUUCUAAUAAUGGUGUUCAAAACAGAGUACAACCAUUGCAUUAUUGGAUAUUUGGAACAAGGAUCGUUUUGUAUGUCAAUAAUAUUGCUAUGAUUAAGUAAAAUUAUCAAAGUGAAAUGCUGCAAAAACUUAACUUUCGUUUAAUGAAAUCUGAUCUUUUGUUGCAAUUGUUGUCUUGUGAGUAGCCCAACAUCUAAUAAAAGGAGUUUUGAAGCUGAUUAGUAUUGAAAGUUUGACAAUUUAUCAUGUGAAAAGCCAUUUACAGGUAUGUAUUAUAAGCAAUUUAUUGGUUACCCACUUAAUAUGGUAAUAAAUAAUUGUUUAAACAAUUUUUUUGUUCUCUUCUUGCAGUUUAAGGGUGUGUACGGGUGCUUAUGAUGAUGAGAUGAUAAGAGCAUGGGUAGAAUGGGACAAAAAAAAAUUCAGAAAAUGAUCAUCAUUCAGAGUUUUCUGAAAAUGUCAUUUUUAAUUUAUUUCUUCAUUCUGUUUAUGUAGGUGUGGAGAUGUCUUUUUUUAAUACUUUUUUGAUAUCAUUUAUCUGUAAAACAUUUUAUCUAUGACAACACAAAAAAAUGGAAUAAAAAAGAAACAGGGUUUAAGUGAUUUUUUUUUCCGAAAUACAAAACAACAAUUUUUGGUUUUCAGGUGAAGAUAUUCUAUUUCUGGAUCUAUCAUUGGACCCUGGACUCUUUGAAGGCCCGAAAGGAGUUGAACAGGUGGACCCUGGACUCUUUGAAGGCCCGAAAGGAGUUGAACAG